UACAGAGGGGGCUAGCGUUGUUCGGAAUUACUGGGCGUAAAGCGCACGUAGGCGGACUGAUAAGUCAGGGGUGAAAUCCCGGGGCUCAACCCCGGAACUGCCUUUGAUACUGUCAGUCUGGAGUUCGAGAGAGGUGAGUGGAAUUCCGAGUGUAGAGGUGAAAUUCGUAGAUAUUCGGAGGAACACCAGUGGCGAAGGCGGCUCACUGGCUCGAUACUGACGCUGAGGUGCGAAAGCGUGGGGAGCAAACAGG
rnacentral:rRNA from 1 species